UACAGAGGUCCCAAGCGUUGUUCGGAUUCACUGGGCGUAAAGGGUGCGUAGGCGGUCGGGUAAGUCUGAUGUGAAAUCUCACAGCUUAACUGUGAAACUGCAUUGGAUACUAUCCGGCUCGAGGAAUGGAGGGGAGACUGGAAUACUUGGUGUAGCAGUGAAAUGCGUAGAUAUCAAGUGGAACACCAGUGGCGAAGGCGAGUCUCUGGACAUUUCCUGACGCUGGGGCACGAAAGCCAGGGGAGCAAACGGG
rnacentral:rRNA from 1 species